rnacentral:tRNA from 1 species
GUCUUAAUAGUAUAAAUAUUACCCUGGUCUUGUAAACCAGAAAUGAAGAUAUAAUCUUCUUAAGACA